rnacentral:rRNA from 1 species
AACGCUAGCGGCAGGCUUAACACAUGCAAGUCGAGGGGUAGAAGGAGCUUGCUCCUUUGAGACCGGCGCACGGGUGCGUAACGCGUAUGCAAUCUACCUUGUACAGGGGGAUAGCCCAGAGAAAUUUGGAUUAAUACCCCAUAGUAUUUUCAGAUGGCCUCAUUUGAUUAUUAAAGUUCCAACGGUACAAGAUGAGCAUGCGUCCCAUUAGCUAGUUGGUGUGGUAACGGCAUACCAAGGCAACGAUGGGUAGGGGUCCUGAGAGGGAGAUCCCCCACACUGGUACUGAGACACGGACCAGACUCCUACGGGAGGCAGCAGUGAGGAAUAUUGGUCAAUGGGCGCAAGCUUGAACCAGCUAUGCCGCGUGCAGGAUGACGGUCCUAUGGAUUGUAAACUGCUUUUGUACAGGAAGAAACCCUCCCUUGUAAGGGAGCUUGACGG